rnacentral:rRNA from 1 species
UACGAAGGGGGCUAGCGUUGCUCAGAAUCACUGGGCGUAAAGGGUGCGUAGGCGGCGCGGUAAGUCGGGUGUGAAAUCUCGGGGCUUAACUCCGAAACUGCAUUCGAUACUGCCGUGCUUGAGGACUGGAGAGGAGACUGGAAUUUACGGUGUAGCAGUGAAAUGCGUAGAUAUCGUAAGGAAGACCAGCGGCGAAGGCGAGUUCCUGGACAGUUACUGACGCUGAGGCACGAAGGCCAGGGAGGCAAACGGG